ACCCGCUGAACUUAAGCAUAUCAGUAAGCGGAGGAAAAGAAACUAACUAGGAUUCCCCGAGUAGCGGCGAGCGAAAGGGGAAAAGCCCAGCGCCGAAGCCCGCGGCCCCCGGUCGCAGUGCAAUGUGGCGUUUCGGCGGCGUCUCGCCGCGACUUCCCUGGCACGAGUAUCUCUGAAUGGGUCUGUCCGCAGCGGGUGUCAGGCCUCUACUUGCCAAACGGGUCGUCGCGGCACGGCGUCGUCGCGGAGUCGGGUUGCUUGAGAGUGCAGCCCAAAGUGGGUGGUAAGCUCCAUCUAAGGCUAAAUACCUAGUGCGAGACCGAUAGCAAACAAGUACCGUGAGGGAAAGUUGCAAAGAACUUUGAAAAGAGAGUUCAAGAGUACGUGAAACCGUUCAGAGGCAAACGGACGGAACUGGGCGAGUUCGUCGCCGCCAUUCAGCCGUCGCUCCGUCAAACGGGCGGCGGUGCACUUGGCGGCGGCGGAGCGCGACGACCGUCUGUCGGGUCGUCAGAAGCCCGGCGGCAAGGUGGCGACGCGUUCGCGCGUCGUGUUACAGGCCGCCGCGGCGUUGGCUGACCUGGCGGGCGAGGAGCGCCUGCGGUGCACUCCCCUCGCGGGAGUGGCUCGCGUGGUGGGCUUGCGGACGCCGGCGGCGAACUGCUCGCAGUUUGACGUCGCGCGCUCUGUCUGUCGUGCCGCGCGACGCCACGUGGCACCCGGGGUCCGGGUCGUGUGGUUCCUGGCACUCCGUCCGACCCGUCUUGAAACACGGACCAAGGAGUUGAGCACGCGCGCGAGUCGAUGGGCUUCACGAACCCCAGUGGCGCAGCUAAGGCAAAACGGGCGUGAUCCGGCACUGGCGUGUCGGCGCAACGCCGGCCCGCAGCUGACUCGAUGCGAGUGGCUGCGGCGCAAGAGCGUGCGUGCUCAGACCCGAAAGGUGGUGAACUAUGCUUGAGCAGGGCGAAGCCAGAGGAAACUCUGGUGGAGGCUCGCAGCGAUCCUGACGUGCAAAUCGGUCGUCAAACUUGAGCAUAGGGGCGAAAGACUAAUCGAACCGCCUAGUAGCUGGUUCCCUCCGAAGUUUCCCUCAGGAUAGCUGGCACUCGGGAUAAAUGGUUUUAUCCGGUAAAGCGAAUGAUUAGAGGCAUUGGGGACGAAACGUCCUCAACCUAUUCUCAAACUUUAAAUGGGUAAGAGGCGCGACCCUUCCUGAUCGGGGCCGCGUGCUCGAACAGAGAGUGCCCAGUGGGCCGUUUUUGGUAAGCAGAACUGGCGCUGUGGGAUGAACCAAACGCGCGGUUAGGGUGCCUAACGCACGCUCAUGAGAUACCACAAAAGGUGUUGGUUGAUAUAGACAGCAGGACGGUGGCCAUGGAAGUCGGAAUCCGCUAAGGAGUGUGUAACAACUCACCUGCCGAAUCAACUAGCCCUGAAAAUGGAUGGCGCUGGAGCGUGCGACCCAUACCGCGCCGUCGGGGCAAUGCGUGCGAAAUGCCAGGCCCCGACGAGUAGGAGGGCGUGUCGGUGGCGCUGAAGCGUAGUGCGCGAGCACGCGUGGAGCCGCCUUCAGUGCAGAUCUUGGUGGUAGUAGCAAGUAUACAAAUGAGAACUUUGUAGACCGAAGUGGAGAAGGGUUCCAUGUGAACAGCAGUUGGACAUGGGUCAGUCGGCCCUAAGAGAUCGGAGAAUUCCGUUCUGAACGGGGAAGGACGAGUGGUGCCGUCUGAGCAACUUCCUCGGCGGGCGGGGCACGCGACCGACUAUUUCUCGGCGCGACCCCGCCGCAAGUGAGAGCGCGCACGCGUCCGACUAUUUCUCGGCGUGGCGCGCCCUCGACGUGCGGUGCUUCCGCCGGAAGCAAGCGGUACUGGCCAGAUCGCCCCCCGAUGCGAUCGAAAGGGAAUCGGGUUAAUAUUCCCGAACCUGGCAGUGGAGAUUGGGCCUUCGGGCCCCAGUGCGGUAACGCAACCGAACUCGGAGACGCCAGCGUCGAUCCCGGGAAGAGUUCUCUUUUCUUUGUUAGGAGCGGACUCCCUGGAAUUGGCUUGUCCAGAGAUAGGGACGUUGCAUCCGUAAAGCGUCGCGCCUCAUGCGGCGUCCGGUGCAUCGGCGUUGGCCCUUGAAAAUCCGAGGAAGGCAGUGUAAUUUUCACUCCAGGCCGUACCCGAAUCCGCAGCAGGUCUCCAAGGUGCACAGCCUCUGGUCGAUAGAACAAUGUAGGUAAGGGAAGUCGGCAAAUCCGAUCCGUAACUUCGGGAUAAGGAUUGGCUCUGAGGUGCGGGCUGCUUCGGGUCGCGGCAAGAAGCGGCGCGCGCGUUGGCUGGACUGGGCGCUCGGGCAACUGGGUGCUCGGACCGUUGCCAGCGUGCGUCCGUGGGAGGCCGUGGCUUUCGCCGGCGUCGGCCUCGUGUCGGCGUCGGCUUCGUUCGGCCUAAACGCACAGCACAGAACUGGCACGGACUCUGGGAACACGACUGUCUAAUUAAAACAAAGC
rnacentral:rRNA from 1 species